AAGAAAAUGUUUUCCUUAAAUAAUACUUGUAAGAUAUUUACUGGAAGAAAAAAGACAAAUUUAGGUGUUCAUUCAUUUGUUCAGUAAUUCAGCUUUAGCCUAGCACCCAUUUCCCAGGGUAGGUUUGGGAUAUUAAUAGGAUUUAAUUAGAAUUAGUUUUUCACUUUUUUCGAACACUAUUUUUAAGAAAUCACUUGGUCCUUUAUGAAUUCUCUAGAUAUUUUUCUGCCUCAUUUACUAAAAUAAAUAAAAUAGUUAAAUAGUUAUUCGGGUUUUUCCAAUCAAGAUGCUGCUUCUUACGUAUCCUUUCUUUUUAUUUUCUUUUCUCUAAUAUCUUUUGGAGGACUGUGAUAUGAAAGAAAGAUCAUCGGACUACAAGGUAUGUGGCACGCGCCAUCCUCUAGCCAGAUGUGACACUUUCUCAUGCCACUGCUCUCCUAGGUCAUGCAGGUAUGCCUCUCACUCACUCCAACCAAACCUCGCCCUCCUGGCCUGCAGAGGUACAUCUCCUUGAGACCUCCUCAGACCACCUUGGCCCACCUUGACUUUCUCAGAUUCUAAGUGGCUCAGUGAAAUUAAGGAGAAGAUGGAUUUAUUUAAAAAUAGAGUUAAGAGGAGAUGAUAACAAGAGAAGAAAUGAAAAGGAAGCUGGCAGAACCAAGAAAAGAUGUUAAGGAGAAAAAUAAAACCAUUGCGCAACUGAAGACCGCAUGUAGGCACUGCUUGAGAAAAACACACUAUGUAGAGGGAAAGGACAUGAAAUGAAAGUGAUUAGAGAGAAGAGGAGAGAUGUAGGGGACAGACAACUUCAGCAAGCUCACAUCAGGAUGUUAUCCAUUCAGUCAUGCAUCCAUUUGGUAUUCAUUCAGCAACUGCUAAAUGUUAGGUCCUAUGUCAGGAAUCAAGGAUGCAAAGUACCCCCAAGAAGCUCAGAAGGAGUAGAAGGAUGUUACCAGAUGCUGGGAAGGGUACUGGGGUAGGGGGCGGUGAGGUGGGGAUGGUUAAUGGGUACAAAAAACAGGAAGAAUGAGUAAGAUCAACUAUUUGAUAGCACAACAGGGUGACUACAGCCAAUAAUAACUUAAAUGUGCCUUUAAAAAUAACUAAGAGUAUAAUUGGAUUGUUUGUAACGCAAUUAUAAAAGCUUGAGGGGAUGGAUUCCCCAUUCUCCAUGACGUGAUUAUUAAACAUUGCAUGCCUGUAUCAAGAUAUCUCAUGUACCCCAUAAAUAUGUGUACCUAAUAGGCACCCACAAAAAUUAAAAAUUAAAAAAUUUUAAAAGGGAAGCUGAGAAGAAGUAGAGAAAGCAACCACUAACAAGCAGAGCACAGCCUGUUCAAUCUCUAAUAGAGGUGUGCUCCGCAAAACCCCAGGGAAUAGAGAAGACAGAGUACAAAUCUGUCUAGGGUAGGGACUGUACUUGUUUGCUGUGGCCGUUGUACCAAAUUACCACAAAACAUGGUGGCUUAACAUAACACAAUUUAUUCUCUCACAGUUCUGGAGGCUAGAAGUCCAAAUUCAACUUUAUUGGGCUGAAAUCAAAGAGUCAGGAGGAUACCUGUGAUGGCAUUUAGGCCCACCUGGGUGAGCCAGGACACUCUCUCCAUCUCAAGAUCCUUACUUGAAUCACAUCUGCAAAGCCCUCUUUCUGCCAGGCAAGAAGCAGGAUUGCAGGCCACCUUUUGCAGGCCCAGCCCAGGUUUGGAACAAGGCUUCCUCUGCAAAAGCUGGAUGCUGUGAGCUCUGUCAGCUGCAAUGCUCUACCCCACACCUGCCUGGGUUUCCGGAGUGCAUACUCUAUUUGGGAGCAAUGCCUGCCUUGAACUCCAACAGUAUUUUGUCAGCAUCUUUCCCCAAAGACUAAACUCUACAGCCUAUAUCAAGUAUCAGCCACUGGAGAAAGCCGAGAAAUGGAGAAAUUGAGAAACUUGGCAACACAUCCAGUAAAGAGCUGAAGCUUUUAUAACAGCACAAUACAGGAACAAAAAGGAUAGCUUUGGGGAAUGCCAGCCUUUCCAAGGUAAGUUAUCAAAUGUCAGUGUGAACAAUCAUCAACACUGGAAAAAGAAAUUGUUUAAUUCUCAUAAGCUAACAAAAUGAAUAUGACAUACCAUUUCCCAUGCUACCUAGGUGAAGCAUGCAAGUUGAAUAGUCAUAGCAAUGCUAGUAUUAUUUUUUAUUUUAUACAUAUAUAUUUUUUAAUUAUUAUACUUUAAGUUUUAGGGUACAUGUGCACAUUGUGCAGGUUAGUUACAUAUGUAUACAUGUGCCAUGCUGGUGCACUGCACCCACUAACUCGUCAUCUAGCAUUAGGUAUAUCUCCCAAUGCUAUCCUUCUCCCCUCCCCCCACCCCACAACAGUCCCCAGAGUGUGAUAUUCCCUUUCCUGUGUCCAUGUGAUCUCAUUGUUCAAUUCCCACCUAUGAGUGAGAAUAUGUGGUGUUUGGUUUUUUGUUCUUGCGAUAGUUUACUGAGAAUGAUGAUUUCCAAUUUCAUCCAUGUCCCUACAAAGGACAUGAACUCAUCAUUUUUUAUGGCUGCAUAGUAUUCCAUGGUGUAUAUAUGCCACAUUUUCUUAAUCCAGUCUAUCAUUGUUGGACAUUUGGGUUGGUUCCAAGUCUUUGCUAUCGUGAAUAAUGCUGCAAUAAACAUACGUGUGCAUGUGUCUUUAUAGCAGCAUGAUUUAUAGUCCUUUGGGUAUAUACCCAGUAAUGGGAUGGCUGGGUCAAAUGGUAUUUCCAGUUCUAGAUCCCUGAGGAAUCGCCACACUGACUUCCACAAUGGUUGAACUAGUUUACAGUCCCACCAACAGUGUAAAAGUGUUCCUAUUUCUCCACAUCCUCUCCAGCACCUGUUGUUUCCUGACUUUUUAAUGAUUGCCAUUCUAACUGGUGUGAGAUGGUAUCUCAUUGUGGUAUUACAUAGACAACUGUGAAGAUAAUUAUUUUGAUGAGUAAAUUACUACAAUAAAUUGUCAUACGGGAAAUAUCCAGAUCAAGAAUAGAAAUUGGGUCCCCACACAAACCCUCCCUUUCCCUCCUCCCAUCACAACCCUCUCUCUUCCCCAGAGGAAUCGCUGGCCUGACUUUGUGGCAAUCACUUUCUUGCUUUUCCUUAUAGCUUUAUCACCCAAGUGUGUGCUCCCAAAUACUAUAGUAAAUGGUGUCUUUUUCUGCUGUGUCUUUUAGGUCUAUUUUAAUCUAUAGGUCAUCCAACUAUCCAUUUUUUCCACUUUUUUCCUCAUAAAAAUGAUUUUUUAAGAAACCCUAAAUACUAUAGUAAAUGGUGUCUUUUUCUGCUGUGUCUUUUAGGUCUAUUUUAAUCUAUAGGUCAUCCAACUAUCCAUUUUUCCCCUUUUUUUCCUCAUAUAAAUGAUUUUUUAAGAAACCAGGCCAUGUAUGCUGUAAUCUGGCAGUUUCCCAUAGCCUGGAUUCAGCUGAUUGCAUCAAUGCGAAUAUUAUAACUAUGUAGCAUGACUCAAGCCAUAAGGAGGGUAUCAGGUAGAUUUAAAUGGAAAUAUCUAGUCUGCCACAUAUACAAGUAUAUUAAAACUCAGUUCCUCUAACAAGGGCCCCGGGGACUUAUUUAUUGAUUUACAAAAGUUUUGAACAGUUGCUUUGAGGUAAUCUCUUAAUCUCUUUCUUCCUCCCUCUUCCUUCUUCUUGCUUUUUUUUUUUUCUUUUUAAGGGACAGCAUCGUUCUAUGUUGCCCAGGCUGGUCUUGAACUC
rnacentral:lncRNA from 1 species